rnacentral:rRNA from 6 species
UCUGAUCUCAAAUCAGGUAGGACUACCCGCUGAACUUA